UAACAGUCUCCCAAAAAAGUAACUGACAAUAUGAACGCAUCUGUGUUUGCAAGUGAUCCUUCAAAACUCUUAAUACUAAACGUAUAAAGAGCAUCAUCGCGUUUUGACUGUCGAAUGUAACUAAUUCUAUAUAUUAAUAACGUUACCGUUAAGAUACUGGUCGUCACUAAGGAAAAGGAAUCACUAGAAAUAAACCCAAUCACUUAUUCUCUGCGACAGUCAACCAGAAUCAUUGCUGUGAGAAGCCCAUGACAAUGAAGUCAAAGUAAAACCGCAGUACAUCAAAAUACAAUCGAAUACGCUCAAAUGAAGGUGAGUGAGUGAGUGAGUGAAAGUGAAA
rnacentral:lncRNA from 1 species